GUAGCAAAAUUGAAGAUGCAAGGGCUACUUUCGGAAUUUUCAAGGGACCGAUAUACACAGGAAACUUUAUUUCCGCCUAAAAAAAAAUUUAGCCCUCGAUCACUGAUAUUUUCCCUCUCCGCUCCUCGGUCUCUCUCGAUCCCUGCGUUCUCUCCCCGCCCACUGCCGCCGUCAGACGCCGGAGACCGGAUUUUAUCCGGCGAAUUUCACUGCCUUUUCCCUCUCUCUCUCUCAGCGAAUACAACAACAACGAGAAUGGAGGAGCUUCAGAAGCUGGAGAAAGUGCAAAGAAUGAUGUCGUUCAUGGAAGCUCGAGGGCUCUCCACCAACCGUCAUGACUCCGACCGCUUCCUGGCUGAUUUCCUCCUCUUCAUGGUUCAACCAUCUCAGUCACUCACCAUGAAGAAAAGAUGUGACCUUGUCUCCGAGCAUAUAAAAAAGAUAUCACCUACAAUUCUAGAAGAUGCCGUAUUAUAUGUAACUGAAGAUAGUCAACAGCUUUAUGCAGAUAUUCCACCCAGUUCUAAAGUUGAUUACAAACUGAAUCUUCAGUUACCUGAACUGAACAGACAUAAAAACAUGGCUAACAUUGGGCUUGAUUGCAUGCAAAGAGCGAAUUCUACUCUUGAGGAUUUUUGCAGAUCUUAUUUUAUGUUUCAUGAAAUGGAUGUCAACGAUCCACGAGCAAUAUUUAAAUUUCUUCCUGUGCUUUCAUUCACCGAAAGCUAUAUAUAUCAGCUGGAUACUAUGAACGAAAGAAGUUUAUUAUCAUUGACAAGUUCACCAGAAGAUGACACUAACGUUUCUAAUUGUAUGCACGAUGGGGCAAGUAAUCUAGGCAGUGAACAAUCUUUCUCUGACUUCCCAAUAUCUGAGUCAUUUGAUCCACUUGUUGAUGUUCUUCGGUGUCAGGGAUUACUGACAGAGCGAAUUCAAACUGAACUUCAGCGUGGAUAUGAAUAUUGGGAACUUGAAAGGAAACUUUGUCAUGCAUUAACCUUCAAGAGAAAGAUUAUUAUUGAAGAUGUUAUGAGAGCCGUGCAUCUGAAAUCCUUUGACUAUCGAGUUCUGAAUCUUUUGUUAUAUCAAUUAAGAAAUCAGAAGGUCAAUGACUUGCAUAUGGAGUUUCUAUCAAUAUCUGAAUUCCUAGUUGAAGUAUCGGAUGACUUUGAUCAUAUUAUAGGUACGAUUAUGAGGGGGAUGUUAGAGAAAAUAGUUUCAAUAUACUUCGUAUGUUCGUGGCCAUUUAUGGCGCUUCUACUGCACCAGCUAUGUUGGCAAAAUGCAUUACCGAGGCUGAAGAAAAGUUCGAGCAUUUGUCAAGGGCUUUGGAUCCUGAACUAUCCUUGAGAUACUGGAGAAGAUGUGAAGAAGCAUCAAGAGAAGGGGGUUCAUCGGGGCAUGCUUUUGGAAUGUGGAGUAUCCCUCCUGUGAUUAUUGAUGAAGAUUCAUUUCGAUUGCAAACCACAGGCAUGAGUCCGGUUUAGGGAUGCCCAACGUGGCCAUCUUCCUCCAAGAGUUGAAGAGAAAAACCAUCUGGAGGUGCUAUAAAGCUUUUUUCCCAGUAGUUCUACAAAAGAAGAAGAGAGAAGAAAAAAGAGAAAAAAAAAGUACUUCAAAAACAUAAGAUUCCACCUUUUCAAAUGUAUAGUAGAAAUGGAUCAAACGGUCGCCUCUCGUUCAACUAUUUCCAUCACAGAGUGGCAUAGACAGGUGUGAGGUACUACAUAUUAAAAUCUCUGCUUUGAACUACUGUAGGUUUACAGUACGUAGUAAUAGAAAGUAGUUCCUUUCUGUUUGCCUUUCUUGUGUCUCAACAGUCAACUCAUGGUUGAGUUUAAUCAUUAUUUUCGCGCGUCUUGUCUCUCUUUUUGGAUAAUUGAUUGAUUGAUUCAUGAAUAGGUUAUUCCCGGGACAUAGUAAAAUGAUAAGCUCAACCAGAGUCAAUGAGCUUUUCCAAGGGGUUGUUUGAUUCGAUUUGUAUAAAUUAUA